CGCAUCUGUGCAUGCAGCAUAUCAAUAAGCGGAGGAAAAGAAACUAACAAGGAUUCCCCUAGUAACGGCGAGUGAAGCGGGAAGAGCUCAAAUUUGAAAUCUUAAAGGGUUUCCCUUUACGAAUUGUAGUUUAAAGAAGUGUUUUCUGUUGAGGUUUUGGUAAAAGUUCUUUGGAAUAGGACAUCAUAGAGGGUGAGAAUCCCGUAUUUGACCUUUACUUUCAACUUUGUGAUACACUUUCAAAGAGUCGGAUUGUUUGGGAAUGCAGUCCAAAAUGGGUGGUAAAUUUCAUCUAAAGCUAAAUAUUGGCGAGAGACCGAUAGCGAACAAGUACCGUGAGGGAAAGAUGAAAAGAACUUUGAAAAGAGAGUUAAACAGUACGUGAAAUUGUCAAAAGGGAAGCGUUUGACACCAGUGUUGUUUUUCUGAAAAUCAAUUAAAGAACUGUUUAUGCUAAGCUGUUUAGACUUUAUCAGCUAUCUGUUUAGUUUUGAGCUUUUCUUUAAUGCACUUUUCAGUUAACAAGUCAACAUCAAUUUCUUUUGCUGUAAAAAAGCUUGAGGAAGGUGGCUUGAGAUUCGUCUUAAGUGUUUAUAGCCUCUUGCCUAUGCAGUCGGAGAGAUUGAGGUCUGCAGGCGUAGAUCCUUCGGGGCUAAAUGCAUUUGUGCUAAGUUAUAGCAUUUUAUAGACAACUUGUUGACUAUGAUUUGUCUUGUAGCUUACUCGCUUAUGUUAUUUUACCUACGCUUAGGAUGUUGAGUCGUAGAGCACGCAG
rnacentral:rRNA from 1 species